rnacentral:rRNA from 1 species
AUUGAACGCUGGCGGCAGGCCUAACACAUGCAAGUCGAGCGGAUGAAGGGAGCUUGCUCCUGGAUUCAGCGGCGGACGGGUGAGUAAUGCCUAGGAAUCUGCCUGGUAGUGGGGGAUAACGUCCGGAAACGGGCGCUAAUACCGCAUACGUCCUGAGGGAGAAAGUGGGGGAUCUUCGGACCUCACGCUAUCAGAUGAGCCUAGGUCGGAUUAGCUAGUUGGUGGGGUAAGGGCCUACCGAGGCGACGAUCCGUAACUGGUCUGAGAGGAUGAUCAGUCACACUGGAACUGAGACACGGUCCAGACUCCUACGGGAGGCAGCAGUGGGGAAUAUUGGACAAUGGGCGAAAGCCUGAUCCAGCCAUGCCGCGUGUGUGAAGAAGGUCUUCGGAUUGUAAAGCACUUUAAGUUGGGAGGAAGGGCAGUAAGUUAAUACCUUGCUGUUUUGACGUUACCAACAGAAUAAGCACCGGCUAACUUCGUG